rnacentral:lncRNA from 1 species
AGGGAGCCACACAUCGGCUGUUGUUGUAAGAGGGGUCCGAGGUGUGGCUUCAGCUUUUAGUGCUCGUUCUUGUAGAGCAGCUGCUGGUUCGUUACCGGGGGCGGAGUCCGAAUUUAGCAAAUAAGGAAGGCUGGUCGUGCCGCGGUGAGCUCGGGCAGCAGGGGGUCGAGGAGCACGACGCAGGCGGGCAGGUUGGGCCGGCGAGUCGCAAGUCGGAGAUCGAACUGGAGCGACUCGAGCUAUGGUCUGAGCCGACGAGUCGCAAGUUGGAGAUCGAACUGGGGCGACUCGGGCUAUGGUCUGAGCCGGCGAGUCGUAAGUCGGAGAUCGACCUGGAGCGACUCGGGCUAUGGUCUGAGCCGACGAGUCGCAAGUUGGAGAUCGAACUGGAGCGAC